AUUAGGAAUCUUGCGCAAUGGGGGCAACCCUGACGCAGCGACACAGCGUGGAGGAGGAAGGUCUUCGGAUUGUAAACUCCUUUUAUAUGGGAAGAAUAGAUGACUGUACCAUAUGAAUAAGUACCUGCUAACUACGUGCCAGAAGCAUCGGUGAUGCGUAGGGUACGAACGUUAUCCGGAUUUACUGGGCGUAUAGAGAUGCGUAGGCGGUUUGAUAAGUCUUAAGUUAAAGACCUCGGCUCAACCGAGGAAAAGCUUUAGAAACUAUCAGACUUGAGACAUGAAGGGGUGAACGGAAUUCCGAGUGGAGUGGUGAAAUACGUUGAUAUUCGGAGGAACAUCAGUGGCGAAGGCGGUUCACUGGUCAUUGUCUGACGCUAAGGCUCGAAAGCGUGGGUAGCAAAACGGAUUAGAAACCCUAGUAGUCC
rnacentral:rRNA from 1 species